AUUGAACGCUGGCGGAAUGCUUUACACAUGCAAGUCGAACGGUAGAGGGGGCAACCCCUCGAGAGUGGCGAACGGGUGAGUAAUAUAUCGGAACGUGCCCAGUCGUGGGGGAUAACGUAGCGAAAGUUGCGCUAAUACCGCAUACGAUCUAAGGAUGAAAGCGGGGGAUCGCAAGACCUCGCGCGAUUGGAGCGGCCGAUAUCAGAUUAGGUAGUUGGUGGGGUAAAGGCUCACCAAGCCAACGAUCUGCAGCUGGUCUGAGAGGACGACCGGCCACACUGGAACUGAGACACGGUCCAGACUCCUACGGGCGGGAGCAGUGGGGAAUUUUGGACAAGGGACGCAAUUCUGAUCCAGCCAUUCCGCUUGCAGGAUGAAGGCCCUCGGGUUGUAAACUGCUUUUGUACGGAACGAAAAGGUCUCUCUUAAUACGGGGGACUCAUGACGGUACCGUAAGAAUAAGCACCGGCUAACUACGUGCCAGCCGCCGCCGUAAAAC
rnacentral:rRNA from 1 species